rnacentral:rRNA from 1 species
CACGUAGGGCGCGAGCGUUGUCCGGAUUUAUUGGGCGUAAAGAGCGUGUAGGCGGUUUGGUAGGUCCGUUGUGAAAACUCGAGGCUCAACCUCGAGACGCCGGUGGAAACCAUCAGGCUAGAGUCCGGAAGAGGAGAGUGGAAUUCCUGGUGUAGCGGUGAAAUGCGCAGAUAUCAGGAAGAACACCCGUGGCUAAGGCGGCUCUCUAGUACGGUACUGACGCUGAGACGCGAAAGCGUGGGGAGCGAACAGG